rnacentral:pre_miRNA from 1 species
GAUGUACUCCCUCUGUUCGGAAUUACUUGUCUCGGAAAUGGAUGUAUCUAGAACUAAAAUACGUCUAGAUACAUCCAUUUCUGCGACAAGUAAUUCCGAACGGAGGAAGUAGGAG